rnacentral:rRNA from 1 species
GAUGAACGCUGGCGGCGUGCCUAAUACAUGCAAGUCGAGCGAACAGACGAGGAGCUUGCUCCUCUGACGUUAGCGGCCGACGGGUGAGUAACACGUGGAUAACCUACCUAUAAGACUGGGAUAACUUCGGGAAACCGGAGCUAAUACCGGAUAAUAUAUUGAACCGCAUGGUUCAAUAGUGAAAGACGGUUUUGCUGUCACUUAUAGAUGGAUCCGCGCCGCAUUAGCUAGUUGGUAAGGUAACGGCUUACCAAGGCAACGAUGCGUAGCCGACCUGAGAGGGUGGUCGGCCACACUGGAUCCGGGACACGGUCCAGAAUCCUACGGGAGGCAGCAGUAGGGAAUCUUCCGGAAUGGGCGAAAGCCUGACGGGACAACGCCGCGUGAGUGAUGAAGGGCUUCGGAUCGUAAAACUCUGUUAUUAGGGAAGAAAAAAUGUGUAAGUAACUAUGCACGUCUUGACGGUACCUAAUCAGAAAGCCGCGGCUAACUACGUG